CCAUCAUCACCAUCAUCCUGACUAGUCUUUCAGGCGAUGUGUGCUGGAAGACAUUCAGAUCUUCCAGUGGUGCAUGAACGCAUGAGAAAGCCCCCGGAAGAUCAUUCUUCCGGGGGCUUUUUUUU
rfam:Citrobacter koseri ATCC BAA-895, complete genome.